rnacentral:rRNA from 1 species
UCUUGGUCAUUUAAGAGGAAGUAAAAGUCGUAACAAGGUCUCCGUUGGUGAACCAGCGGAGGGAUCAUUACCGAGUUUUCAACUCCCAAACCCUUUUGUGAACAUACCUAUCGUUGCUUCGGCGGACUCGCCCCAGCGUCCGGCCGGCCCCGCGCCGGCCGCGGCCUGGAUCCAGGCGGCCGCCGGAGACCCCCAAACUCUGUAUUCUCAGUAUCUUCUGAAUCCGCCGCAAGGCAAAACAAAUGAAUCAAAACUUUCAACAACGGAUCUCUUGGUUCUGGCAUCGAUGAAGAACGCAGCGAAAUGCGAUAAGUAAUGUGAAUUGCAGAAUUCAGUGAAUCAUCGAAUCUUUGAACGCACAUUGCGCCCGCCAGCAUUCUGGCGGGCAUGCCUGUUCGAGCGUCAUUUCAACCCUCGACUUCCCUUUGGGGAAAUCGGCGUUGGGGACCGGCCGUAUACCGCCGGCCCCGAAAUGAAGUGGCGGCCCGUCCGCGGCGACCUCUGCGUAGUAAUCCAACUCGCACCGGAACCCCGACGUGGCCACGCCGUAAAACCCCCGACUUCUGAACGUUGACCUCGGAUCAGGUAGGAAUACCCGCUGAACUUAAGCAUAUCAAUAAGCGGAGGA